UCUGACCAGGUUCUCUCCCGAUGGACUGAUCUGACCAGGUUCUCUCCCGAUGGACUGAUCUGACCAGGUUCUCUCCCGCUGGACUGAUCUGACCAGGUUCUCUCCCGAUGGACUGAUCUGACCAGGUUCUCUCCCGAUGGACUGAUCUGACCAGGUUCUCUCCCGGUGGACUGAUCUGACCAGGUUCUCUCCCGAUGGACUGAUCUGACCAGGUUCUCUCCCGAUGGACUGAUCUGACCAGGUUCUCUCCCGAUGGACUGAUCUGACCAGGUUCUCUCCCGAUGGACUGAUCUGACCAGGUUCUCUCCCGAUGGACUGAUCUGACCAGGUUCUCUCCCGAUGGACUGAUCUG